rnacentral:misc_RNA from 1 species
GAUGAAGAACGUAGCGAAAUGCGAUAAGUAGUGUGAAUUGCAGAAUUCAGUGAAUCAUCGAAUCUUUGAACGCACAUUGCGCCCUUUGGUAUUCCUUAGGGCAUGCCUGUUCGAGCGUCAUUUAAACCUUCAAGCUCAGCUUGGUGUUGGGUGACUGUCCGCCGCCUCCGGGCGGUCGGACUCGCCUCAAAUUGAUUGGCGGCCGGUACUUUGGCUUCGAGCGCAGCAGAAACGCGAACUCGAGGCCGUCGUCCUGGCUCCCAGAAGCUAUCUUCACAAUUUUGACCUCGGAUCAGGUAGGGAUACCCGCUGAACUUAAGCAUAUCAAUAAGCGGAGGA